GGUUCACAUUCAACGGUGCUUCAGGCUUCACUGUGAGAUUGCAAAAUCAAGAUACAAUAUCAUUCCCAAACCGCACAGCUAUUGGAGCAAUAACUUAUAUUACCAUCAGUGGUAACAUCGAUGUGACAGGCAUCUGGAUUCAUAACCCAUGAUGGAUGAUACUUCACGCACCAUAUACAAUACAUGAAAUUCAGCAUCAUGUAUUGUAAAAUGAUUACCUGGAGCCAUAGAAACAAUUUCUAGAUGGAAGAUCGACAAAUAAAAACUGUCUUCUGAAAUAUAAUUAAAAGUUUCCAAGAUGUGC